rnacentral:lncRNA from 1 species
UCGAGUAUCAUAAAUAAAGUUGAGGUUUUGUUACAACUCUAGAAGGUUUAAUGUUAUCAGUUCCAGCAACUAUACGGAAUAACGUAGACCUAGCAAAGUUAUUCAUGUAACAAAUAACCUAAAAGUUUUUAGGUUGGAGCAUUUAUUUAAUACCUACUAGUGCUGUUCGUGGCCGAAAUUGGACCAAUUAUCAUGUGUGGAUUUUUGGGCUAUUUUACUCUAUUUGGAACCAAGCUGACGCCUAUCUAAUGAAACUGCAUAAGAAAAAAUAUACUUCCUUACUGAGAGCCAUUGUGUGGAAAGAUAAAUUAUUAAUAUAUCCACAAUUGCGCAGUUCGAUAAGAACGUCGGAUGUAAGGAUAGUAAAAUAGAUAUACAAUGCGGAUGCGAAUAGCAGGUAUCGGUGGGGGAGAGCGACCUAUCACGAUCAGAGAAAGUAAAUAAAGCAGGGAUUCUCAAAUUGUACGACGCAGUUGGAUGCAGGGUAGGAUGUAGGGUGAAGAACAAACAAGAGUGCCGCGAAGUGGCCCAUUCACCGGAAACUGUGUACUAUCAUAAAAGAAAUGAAAACAUUACUGUACUAUAUUUCUGAUAAUGUACAUAUAUUUGAAAUAAACAGUCUAAAUGAAAUACCAGAUCGUAAGUAAGAGUGUUCCCUAAACUUUGACAACACUAAACAUGUAAGUGUGCCACAAACUAAGAAACUUUUGAAACCCUUGAGUAUAAAGUCUACCUACUGUUGAAUAAAAUUCUUGAUGAAUCAGGAAAGUGAGUGAAAUCUAAAAAUAGAAUAAGAGGUAAAAGGCUACACUUAACGCCCGACCAUUCAACAGACAGCGGGGCUCUCGUUGUGAAAAAAGAACAAAAAAUACUGAACAGAGUGAGCGUUCACGCAUCCAGGGUUCUAUAUCUGGGGAGCAAAGAUGACAUACCAAAAGAAGGGUAUUAUAAAUUUGCCACUAAAUUAAUAAUUUUUCCUAAACACAUUUGUUGAGUCAAAGCCUAUACACUAAAAAUUAAUGUACUUAGAAGUAAAACGUUGGGUGCUAGUUUUUAUAAUAUUAUGUUUAAUAUUAUCUUUUACUCCCUACUUCAUAUGUGUGUAUUUCAGAUGUAGGAACACCAAUUAAUUAUAUUACUUUUAGAAAGCAUAAUAAUACAACCAGUUUUUAAGUUGUGUAGUUAUUUUUAUUAAAUAUCGUUCCAAGUACAAACAUUAUCCAGUUAUAAUUUUAUUAUAUUAAUAAAACAUUAGACAUAUCACAAUAUCAUUACAGCUUACCUAUGAAUGUCUGAUGAACAUAGGCUCACGUAUAUGACCACAAAGUACACUUGCAUCCAUUUAUUUCCUGUUACACUUUUAAGAUCAUUACUCCAUCUCGCGGACACUCGAGAAUCUUUUCCCCCCAAUUAGACAUAAAUUCAAAAUUAUAAAA